rnacentral:lncRNA from 10 species
CGCCUGGUUCCUCCUCCGCAGAACCCGCCUCCACUCACUCCUCCUCCGCCUCCAGCGCCACCUCGUAUCUCCUCAUUCCCGACAUGUCCUGGGCUCCGAACGUCUCCUGGGGAGCGGCAUGAUUGAAUCAGGGAUUCCCUAGCCCCAGGUCCCCUUCUCCGUCAUUCUCAGGACGAGGCUGCCCAGUUCUCAGGUGUCCUGGUGGUUAAUACUGAGUGUCAAUUUGAUUGGAUUGAAGGAUUCAAAGUAUUGAUCCUGGGUGUGUCUGUGAGGGUGUUGCCAAAGGAGAUUAACAUUUGAGUCAGUGGGCUGGGAAAGGCAGACCCACCCUUAAUGUGAGUGGGCACAAUCUAAUUGCUGCCGGCAAUAUGUGCAGGCAGAAAAAUGUGAAAAGAGAGACUGGCCUAGCCUCCCAGCCUACAUCUUUCUCCCAUCCUGGAUGUUUCCUGCCCUUGAAUGUUGGACUCCAAGUUCUUCAGUUUUGGAACUCGGACUGUCUCUCCUUGCUCCUCAGCCUGCAGACGGCCUAUUGUGGGACCUUGUGAUCGUGUUGUUGUGGUGGUAUUACUACUACUCAGCAAGAUUCUGGUUUUACUUCUCAUCUUGGGAGUUACCAUCAAGACGUUAGGUAUGGCUGUGUGACCCACUUUGGCCAAUGAAAUGUGAACAGAAAUGGCAUAUGUCACUUGUGGACAAAAACAUUUAAGCAAGAAUUUCCCUUGCUGUCUUCCUUGACUGGAGCGACCAUGGAAGCCUGUGUUGAGAUGAAGAGGCUGCCAACAGAUCAAAACACUUGAAAACUUGAGCAGCCACAUGGACUACAACUGUGCUGGAGACUUGCCUGGACCCACAGCAGGCUUGGUAUGCAUGGGGAAUAGAAUUUUGUUGUAUUACACUCCUCAGAUUUGGAUGUCAUUUGUUAUUACAGCAUUACCUAGCCUAUUCUGACCAAUCAGGUGUGUUGGUGGUGGUUACCAGGUGUUAGAAAAUAGAGAUGUAAGAUUACAGUAAAACUGGAGGGGGAAAACAUGUCACCCCAAUAUCUUGGAUUUAGAAGCAGAUGUUGCUAUGGAAUGAAUUGUGUCCCCCCCCAAAUUCGUAUGUUUAGUCCUAACCCUAAAUGUGACUGUAUCUGAAGAUGGGGUCUUUAGGAGGUAAUUAAAGUUAAAUGAGGCCGGGUGUGGUGGCUCACACCUGUAAUCCCAGCCCUCUGGGAGACCGAGGUGGGUGGAUCACCUGAGGUCAGGAGUUCGAGACCAGCUUGGCCAACAUGGUGAAGCCCUGUCUCUACUAAAAAUAGAAAAAGUAGCUGGGUGUGGUGGUGUGUACCUGUAGUCCCAGCUACUUGGGAGGCUGAGGCAGGAGAAGUGCUUGAACCCAGGAGUUGGAGAUUGCAUUGAGCCAAGAUCAUGCCACUGUACUCCAGCCUGGGUGACAGAGUGAGACUCCAUCUCAAAAAAGAAGAAGAAGAAAAAAAAAGGUUAAAUGAGGUCAUAAUCCGAUAGGAGUAUAGACUUAGAAGAAGAGGAAGGGACCUCUCUUUGUCUCUCUCUGUCACAUAGUAAGAAGGUGGCUGGCUGGUUGCAAGCCACAAAAAAAGCCCUCACCAGAAAGUGACUAUCUUGGCACUUUUUUUUUGAGGCAGGGUCUUGCUGUUGCCCAGGAUGGAGUGCAGUGUCAUGGUCACGGCUCACUGCAGUCUCAACCUCCCAGGCUCGAGAGUUCCUCCCAGCUCAGCUUCCCAAGUAACUGGGACUACAGGCACCUGCCACCACACCCGGCUAAUUAUUUCUAUUUUUUUUUUUUUUUUUUUUUUUGUGGAGACAUUGCCCAGACUGGUCUCAAAUUCCUGGGCUGAAAUGAUCCUCCUGCUUUGGCCUCCCAAAGUGCAGGGAUUACAGUCAUGAACCACUGAGCCUGGCCCAUCUUGGCACUUUUGAUCGUGGACUUCUAACCUUCAGAACUGUGAGAAAAUAAAUUUCUGUUGUUUAAGCUACACAGUCUAUGGAAUUUUGUUAUGACUACCUGAACAGACUAAGAUGGAUGUGGUAAUUUCUAAGGCUCUGAGUUGUCUGUCUUUCGGGGGGGUGAAUUUUUUUUGGCUGUAUAAACAAAGGUGAUAUUAUGUUAGGUGAUACGCUCAAUUUUCUAAGAAGUCUAGGGUUUGGGAAGAAGGAUGUAUGUUGAUCUUGGAUAGCCAUAGUGUGGACUAUAGAGAUAUUUAUUAUUAUUAUUUUCAUUGCCCACAAAGUUAGCCCCUUUCUGUGUUUGAGAAACUUCCUAUUAUAUUACUCUUGGUUACUGGUAGACUUUGCUUUCCAUCAUAGAAUCCCCAAAAGUCACAUACUAAUUUUCCCAGCCCCCUCUGCACUAGGACUUGGACACAUGACCUAGGCUUUGCUAAUCAUAGGACUGUGAAUAGGAAACUAGUAGUGAUGUGAAGGAGUGGGGUUAUUAGAGAAUCCAUUUUUGGUGGUGGUAGCCGUGGUGGUGAAAGUGAUGUCUAUUUUACAGGGGCAGCUGUAGCUAUGAUUCCAGAGGUGGCAUCUGGCAGGCUGACCACCUAACACUGGUGAGGCUUGGGGCAAUAGUACAAAUGGAGGCCCACUAUCUAAAUAUUUAAAAGGUAAAAAUCAAGCGAACAAGUUGUCAAAUAAAAAAUGUGUCUGUCUUCCUUACCUUGAAAAAUAUACUUUCUUUCUUUCUCUCUUUUUUUUUUUUUGAGACAGAGUUUUGCUCUGUUGCCCAGGCUGGAGUGCAAUGGCACAAUCUCAGCUCACUGCAACCUUUGCCUCCUGGGUUCAAGAGAUUCUCCUGCCUCAGCCUCCCAAGUAGCUGGGAUUACAGGCAUGCGCCACCAUACCUGGCUAAUUUUUGUAUUUUUAGUAGAGAAAGGGUUUUGCCAUGUUGGCCAAGCUGGUCUCGAACUCCUGACCUCAGGUGAUCCACCCGCCUUGGCCUCCCAAAGUGCUGGGAUUAAAGGCGUGAGCCACCAUGCCCGGCCAAAAUAUAUACUUUCAAAACAACUUGGAGGCUAGGUUCAAGUUGAGAAUUCUUGAACUCCUUGGAGAUCCAUGAUGGAAUGAGGUGGUAAGGGGAGAGCCCAUCACCAGCCCUCCACUUGUCCCUCUCCUCUUCCUAUCCACAGUUCUAUCCUGCACCAUGAAGGGUCUCACGUGUCUGGGUGUAAACACUCCAGCCCCAUACAUACAAGCUCCUUCUACAUUCCCUGCAAAUAGCUACUUCUUGGCUACCCUCUGG